GCUCCGGUGGCUUAUUGGUUAGAUCGCCCGCCUCUGAUGCAGGAGGUCGCGGGUUCGAACCUCGCUCUAGUCA